rnacentral:rRNA from 1 species
AACGACUCUCGGCAACGGAUAUCUCGGCUCUCGCAUCGAUGAAGAACGCAGCGAAAUGCGAUACUUGGUGUGAAUUGCAGAAUCCCGUGAACCAUCGAGUUUUUGAACGCAAGUUGCGCCCAAAGCCUUUCGGCUGAGGGCACGUCUGCCUGGGUGUCACAC